UACGGGGGGGGCAAGCGUUGUUCGGAAUUACUGGGCGUAAAGGGCUCGUAGGCGGCCAACUAAGUCAGACGUGAAAUCCCUCGGCUUAACCGGGGAACUGCGUCUGAUACUGGAUGGCUUGAGUUUGGGAGAGGGAUGCGGAAUUCCAGGUGUAGCGGUGAAAUGCGCAGAUAUCAGGAGGAACACCGGUGGCGAAGGCGCCACUCUGGGCCGAAACUGACGCUGAGGAGCGAAAGCGUGGGUAGCAAACAGG
rnacentral:rRNA from 1 species